GCUCGGCUAGCUCAGUCAGUAGAGCACGAGUCUGUUAACCUCGGGGUCAUGGGUUCAGGCCCCACGUUGGGCG
rfam:Ixodes scapularis strain Wikel colony gcontig_1108378730706, whole genome shotgun sequence.